rnacentral:lncRNA from 1 species
CUUCUAUCAUGGAUUUCUAAUCUUUCCGGUUUCUUCAUUUUUUAAUUUCAGAAUUAUCUCCAGUGUCUAAUUGUGGAAUCCUGAUGGACGCAGAAUUAAAAUACCUGUGUCCUGGAAAGAGCUAUAACAAGGGGAUGGCAAGGAGAUGAAAAAAUAUCUGUGUGCAGUCAAAGGACAUUAAAUGAUCUUGCUUUGAGAAAGCCUGUAAGGUGGAAUUGGCCAAGACCACAUAGAUUGUGGUCUAUUCACCUAUUGUGGUGACUAGAUUUGUGGUCAGUUCACUUAUUUGUGCUGAUCUGCAUUGGGUUCCUAUAGGUGUAUCUGCAUUAGCCACCUGGUGGACAGUAUUAAUCCUUGUUUUUUUUUGUGGUAAGCAUUACAGGCAGUUUACACACAGGAUUCAUGUAGCAUUAGUUUCCAAAUAGUUCUCCUCAGCAGGAAAUUCUUAGCAGAUAUCAUGGGAGAAGGUUGGUCUCAAUGUUUAAGUCCUAUGCACAGAAUACAUGUGAAGCAGUAUAUAAUUUUUGACCCAGGGAUGGUUGAACUCUCUCUGGUGUUGCUGUGCAUAUUUUCAUUUUGCUAUUUUGAAAUUCUAUUAUUUUAUUUAUUUUAGGUUGUUUUAUUCUGUUUUCUUGCAUUUUAGACAUUCUUAUGUCUUAGAUUUUAAGAUUAUCUGUCUACAGCAUAAUAUCUUUGAAAUACUGAUUACCUACUGAUGUCAAGUGAUGUUUCUCAUAAGCACUGCUGAAAUCAUAUUCUCUGUAAAUGUACCUGGCAGGUCAGAAAGAUGCCAUCAACACCAAAAUAAUCAAUUUCAAUAACGAGAAAAUGCAGAUCACGUGGGCAGUAGGAGAACUAUUCCCCGGCGAAAAUGUGUCAUUUUCUUAUACAUUUGAAGAAGGCAAGCAGAAAGUUUGGAAGCAAUGUCCCAGUUAUUUAUUGGAUCAAGGUUAUAAUUCUGGAUGUCUUUUUAAGACAGAAGGACACACCCUUGCCUUCUCUAUCAUGAACAGCAAUGGAAGUGAAGAGCGUUUUUCUAAAAUACUAAAAUCUGAUUUCUAUAGUAAGUAUGUAAAAUCACAGCUAUGUCUUUUGGUAGUCUUAGUGUCUUCCCACAUUCUCUAUUUGUCCUUAGCAUGA